AUCAAAACAGGUGUAAAUGUCCA
rnacentral:siRNA from 1 species